rnacentral:rRNA from 1 species
AGUGAACGCUGGCGGUAGGCCUAACACAUGCAAGUCGAACGGCAGCACAGUAAGAGCUUGCUCUUACGGGUGGCGAGUGGCGGACGGGUGAGGAAUACAUCGGAAUCUACUUUUUCGUGGGGGAUAACGUAGGGAAACUUACGCUAAUACCGCAUACGACCUACGGGUGAAAGCAGGGGAUCUUCGGACCUUGCGCGAUUGAAUGAGCCGAUGUCGGAUUAGCUAGUUGGCGGGGUAAAGGCCCACCAAGGCGACGACCCGUAGCUGGUCUGAGAGGAUGAUCAGCCACACUGGAACUGAGACACGGUCCAGACUCCUACGGGAGGCAGCAGUGGGGAAUAUUGGACAAUGGGCGCAAGCCUGAUCCAGCCAUACCGCGUGGGUGAAGAAGGCCUUCGGGUUGUAAAGCCCUUUUGUUGGGAAAGAAAAGCAGCAGGUUAAUACCCCGCUGUUCUGGCGGUACCCAAAGAAUAAGCACCGGCUAACUUCGUG